UUAAGACUUCUUCCCGGCUGCUGCUACUUCAAUUUCCAUUGCACUCCUGUUCUUCACCUGCUGCUGCAUCAUUUGGUUUCUGCAUUUCUGAUCAAAUUUCCAACAGUAAAUUUCUAAUCCUCUUAUUCUUUUUCAUUAUUCAUUCUUUGUUUUAUUCCUCUUCUUCUACCUAUUUAUCUCAUGCUAUAUAAGGAUAACCAACACCAUUAUUCCUUUUAAUUUCUUGCUUUAUACAGUUAACUUCAUAUUUUCUUUCUACAAAAGAAAUGCAACAAUAUUUUUGUUGAACACUCAUGUAAUUUGAAUAUUUGGUAACAAUAUUGCUUAUUAAUCAGUUGCAAACACUGUUUUGUUGCAUGUCAUUAAUGUGUUAAGAGUAAGAAAUGAGGGGAGAUAAAGUGGCCAAAUUUGUUUGAUUUCAACUUUGAACUAUUUUUUAUAUAAUUGUCAAGGAAAUGAAGUUUAAACUAUUUUUUAUAUAAUUUCUUUUUCUUCUGCUAUAUUUAUGCAUUACCAACAACUCUGCAUAGUUAGUACCAAAAAACAUUGAAGCUAUUGAUUAUC